GAUAUUUAUAUAGUAUAUCAACUAUUACUUUAAAAUUUCUUUAUGUUAUUUAAUAAAAAGUUUAUAAUAGAAGAUUAAUUUUUUAAUUUUGUAUGCAAAAAAUAGAAUUUUAAUAAUGCCCGGCGAAGCCUGUGCCAGCCGCCGCGGUUAUACAGGCGGGUUAAAAUUGUUUUUUUUAAAAGAAUAAUUUUUUUUUUAAUUUAAGAAUUCUUAAGGAGGUGAAAUUUUUUAGGAGGAUUAAUAAAUUUGUUUUCUAGAAAUUAAUUUUUAAAACUAGGAUUAGAUACCCUAUUAUUAAUUAUAGAUAUAUUGGUAGUAUGUAAAAGUUGUGAAAUCAAAAGAUUUUGGCGGUAUUUUAAGCUUUUUAGAGGAAUUUGCUCUGUAAUUGAUAUGACACAUAUAUCUAACUUAAUUUUGUUAAGUCAGCUUGUAUAUCGCUAUAUUUGAAUUAUAUUUAAUAAUUUAUGAUUAGAAGAUUUUUUUACUAGAAUGUUAGGUCAAGAUGCAGUUUAUGAUUAAGGUUGAAGUGAAUUACGUUAAUUUUAAUUAGGUAAGUUGAAAUUUAAAUAAAGGAUUUAAAAGUAAAAUAAAAUUAUAAUGUUUAUUUGAAUUAAGCUCUAGAAUAUGCACAUAUCGCCCGUCGCUCUCUUAUUGAGAUAAGUCGUAACAAAGUAAGAAUACUGGAAAGUGUUCU
rnacentral:rRNA from 1 species